rnacentral:rRNA from 1 species
GGGCCCGCACAAGCGGUGGAGCAUGUGGUUUAAUUCGAUGAUACGCGAGGAACCUUACCAGGGCUUAAAUGUAGUGGGACAGGUCUAGAGAUAGACCCUUCUUCGGACUCAUUACAAGGUGCUGCAUGGUUGUCGUCAGCUCGUGCCGUGAGGUGUCAGGUUAAGUCCUAUAACGAGCGCAACCCCUAUCGUUAGUUGCCAGCGAGUAAUGUCGGGAACUCUAACGAAACUGCCAGUGCAAACUGUGAGGAAGGUGGGGAUGACGUCAAAUCAUCACGGCCCUUACGUCCUGGCUACACACGUGCUACAAUGGCCGGUACAGAGAGCAGCCGAAGGUGGGGUUGGCGAU